CCUACGGGUUGCAGCAGUGGGGAAUAUUGCACAAUGGGCGCAAGCCUGAUGCAGCCAUGCCGCGUGUAUGAAGAAGGCCUUCGGGUUGUAAAGUACUUUCAGUCGUGAGGAAGGUUCAUACGUUAAUAGCGUAUGGAUUUGACGUUAGCGACAGAAGAAGCACCGGCUAACUCCGUGCCAGCAGCCGCGGUAAUACGGAGGGUGCGAGCGUUAAUCGGAAUUACUGGGCGUAAAGCGCAUGCAGGUGGUUAGUUAAGUCAGAUGUGAAAGCCCGGGGCUCAACCUCGGAAUUGCAUUUGAAACUGGCUGACUAGAGUACUGUAGAGGGGGGUAGAAUUUCAGGUGUAGCGGUGAAAUGCGUAGAGAUCUGAAGGAAUACCGGUGGCGAAGGCGGCCCCCUGGACAGAUACUGACACUCAGAUGCGAAAGCGUGGGGAGCAAACAGGAUUAGAUACCCGUGUAGUC
rnacentral:rRNA from 1 species